rnacentral:rRNA from 1 species
GGAUUAGGCAUGCAAGUCGAACGAGAAAGGUCCCUUCGGGGGCCGAGUACAGUGGCGAAAGGGUGAGUAACGCAUAGACAAUCUGCCCAUGAGAUGGGGAUAACUCCUCGAAAGGGGGGCUAAUACCCAAUAAGACUACGGAUCGCAAGGUCAGUAGUUAAAGAUAGCUUUGCCUUCGCUCAUGGAGGGGUCUAUGUCCUAUUAGCUUGUUGGUGAGGUAACGGCUCACCAAGGCGAUGAUGGGUAGCCGACCUGAGAGGGUGGCCGGCCACACUGGGACUGAGACACUGCCCAGACUCCUACGGGAGGCUGCAGUCGAGAAUCUUCCGCAAUGCGCGCAAGCGUGACGGAGCGACGCCGCGUGAGGGAUGAAGGCCUUCGGGUUGUAAACCUCUGUCACCUGGGAAGAAAGGCGAGUAAUUAAUAGUUGUCUCACUUGACGUUACCAGGAGAGGAAGCACCGGCUAAAUACGUGCCAGCAGCCGCGGUAAUACGUAUGGUGCAAACGUUGUUCGGAAUCACUGGGCUUAAAGAGCACGUAGGCGGUUGAACAAGUCUGAUGUGAAAUCCCUCGGCUCAACUGAGGAACUGCAUUAGAAACUGUUCGGCUUGAGUGCAGGAGGGGAGAGUGGAAUUCCUGGUGGAGCGGUGAAAUGCGUAGAUAUCAGGAGGAACGCCGGUGGCGAAAGCGACUCUCUGGCCUGCAACUGACGCUGAGGUGCGAAAGCUAGGGGAGCGAACGGGAUUAGAUACCCCGGUAGUCCUAGCCCUAAACGAUGGGCACUAAGUAGAGGGGUUUU